UACGUAGGGUGCGAGCGUUGCCCGGAUUUAUUGGGCGUAAAGGGCGCGUAGGCGGCUCUGCACGUCCGUUGUGAAAUCGCCCGGCUCAACUGGGCGGGGUCAGCGGAUACGGCGGAGCUUGAGCAAGCUAGGGGGCAAUGGAAUUCCCGGUGUAGUGGUGGAAUGCGUAGAUAUCAGGAGGAACACCGAUGGCGAAGGCAGUGGGCUGGGCCGGCACUGACGCUGAGGAGCGAAAGCGUGGGGAGCGAACAGG
rnacentral:rRNA from 1 species